rnacentral:rRNA from 1 species
GAUGAACGCUAGCGACAGGCUUAACACAUGCAAGUCGAGGGGCAGCAACACUUUCGGGUGGUUGGCGACCGGCGCACGGGUGAGUAACACGUAUGCAACCUACCUACUACUAGAGGAUAGCCCGUUGAAAGACGGAUUAAUACUUUAUGACACAGGGGUGCCGCAUGGCAAUAUUUGUUAAAGAUUUAUUGGUAGUAGAUGGGCAUGCGUAGGAUUAGCUAGGUGGUUGAGGUAACGGCUCACCAAGGCAACGAUCCUUAGGGGUUCUGAGAGGAAGGUCCCCCACACUGGUACUGAGACACGGACCAGACUCCUACGGGAGGCAGCAGUGAUGAAUAUUGGUCAAUGGAGGAGAGUCUGAACCAGCCAAGUCGCGUGAAGGAAGACGGUAUUAUGUAUUGUAAACUUCUCUUAUAGGGGAAUAAGAUGCGGCACGUGUGCUGUUUUGUAUGUACCCUAUGAAUAAGCAUCGGCUAACUCCGUGCCAGCCGCCGCAGUAA